rnacentral:rRNA from 1 species
CCGCAUAACAACUUGGACCGCAUGGUCCGAGCUUGAAAGAUGGCUUCGGCUAUCACUUUUGGAUGGUCCCGCGGCGUAUUAGCUAGAUGGUGGGGUAACGGCUCACCAUGGCAAUGAUACGUAGCCGACCUGAGAGGGUAAUCGGCCACAUUGGGACUGAGACACGGCCCAAACUCCUACGGGAGGCAGCAGUAGGGAAUCUUCCACAAUGGACGAAAGUCUGAUGGAGCAACGCCGCGUGAGUGAAGAAGGGUUUCGGCUCGUAAAACUCUGUUGUUAAAGAAGAACAUAUCUGAGAGUAACUGUUCAGGUAUUGACGGUAUUUAACCAGAAAGCCACGGCUAACUACGUGCCAGCAGCCGCGGUAAUACGUAGGUGGCAAGCGUUGUCCGGAUUUAUUGGGCGUAAAGCGAGCGCAGGCGGUUUUUUAAGUCUGAUGUGAAAGCCUUCGGCUCAACCGAAGAAGUGCAUCGGAAACUGGGAAACUUGAGUGCAGAAGAGGACAGUGGAACUCCAUGUGUAGCGGUGAAAAUGCGUAGAUAUAUGGAAGAACACCAGUGGCGAAGGCGGCUGUCUGGUCUGUAACUGACGCUGAGGCUCGAAAGUAUGGGUAGCAAACAGGAUUAGGAUACCCUGGGUAGUUCCAUACCGUAAACGAUGAAUGCUAA